rnacentral:rRNA from 1 species
UACGUAGGGUGCAAGCGUUGUCCGGAAUUAUUGGGCGUAAAGAGCUUGUAGGCGGUUUGUCGCGUCUGCUGUGAAAUUUCGGGGCUCAACCCCGAACUUGCAGUGGGUACGGGCAGACUAGAGUGUGGUAGGGGAGACUGGAAUUCCUGGUGUAGCGGUGAAAUGCGCAGAUAUCAGGAGGAACACCGAUGGCGAAGGCAGGUCUCUGGGCCACUACUGACGCUGAGGCGCGAAAGCUAGGGGAGCAAACAGG